rnacentral:rRNA from 1 species
UGGGGAAUAUUGCACAAUGGAGGAAACUCUGAUGCAGCAACGCCGCGUGGAGGAUGACGCAUUUCGGUGUGUAAACUCCUUUUAUAAGGGAAGAUAAUGACGGUACCUUAUGAAUAAGCACCGGCUAACUCCGUGCCAGCAGCCGCGGUAAUACGGAGGGUGCAAGCGUUACUCGGAAUCACUGGGCGUAAAGGAUGCGUAGGCUGGAAAUCAAGUCGAAAGUGAAAUCCAACGGCUCAACCGUUGAACUGCUUUCGAAACUGGUUACCUAGAAUAUGGGAGAGGUAGAUGGAAUUAGUGGUGUAGGGGUAAAAUCCGUAGAUAUCACUAGGAAUACCGAUUGCGAAGGCGAUCUACUGGAACAUUAUUGACGCUGAGGCAUGAAAGCGUGGGGAGCAAACA